AUGAACGCUGGCGGCGUGCCUAAUCCCUGCAAGUCGAGCGAACAGAUGAGGAGCUUGCUCCUCUGACGUUAGCGGCGGACGGGAGAGUAACACGUGGAUAACCUACCUAUAAGACUGGGAUAACUUCGGGAAACCGGAGCUAAUACCGGAUAAUAUAUUGAACCGCAUGGUUCCAUAGUGAAAGACGGUUUUGCUGUCACUUAUAGAUGGAUCCGCGCCGCAUUAGCUAGUUGGUAAGGUAACGGCUUACCAAGGCAACGAUGCGUAGCCGACCUGAGAGGGUGAUCGGCCACACUGGAACUGAGACACGGUCCAGACUCCUACGGGAGGCAGCAGUAGGGAAUCUUCCGCAAUGGGCGAAAGCCUGACGGAGCAACGCCGCGUGAGUGAUGAAGGUCUUCGGAUCGUAAAACUCUGUUAUUAGGGAAGAACAAAUGUGUAAGUAACUAUGCACGUCUUGACGGUACCUAAUCAGAAAGCCACGGCUAACUACGUG
rnacentral:rRNA from 1 species